CUCCACCUGCCUAGAGAACUAACUAUCCUUCAUACAUCCAAACCCAUGGCCAUCGCUAGAUCUCCCCUCUACUCCUCAUGUAAGAGACGAAGCUGAAUGGAAGAGCUUGGGAAGGUGGAUCUGAGAUUUGGGGAAGAAGGGCCAAGGGGUCUAGGCACUGACUCUGGAAACGCAAGUUGUUCGCCACUCUGGAGAUGCUCACUAGUGUGGAAAUGCAGGCUUUUGGAGACGGAAUGGGCUGUAGUGGCCAAAUUCCCUUUACCAUAAAAAGAAAGAACAUAAACCCAGAGGGUGGAAGCCAUGCUCUCAAGGCCGCACAGCAAGCCUGGGCAGAGCCAUAGUGACCUAGACCUUUUGACUCUUCCCAUAAUAGUAAAGCUACCCUUCCUUGUUCAAGGCAGCACAAGUACCUUCUGACUCAGAGUGAGGAGGGCAGGAUCAAGCCCAUUCCUGGAACGACAAUAUUUGAAUUAUCAUCUCAAGGGGAAAUGAACAAAGAAUAGCAGUUCCCUCAAUCCACUCCCUGCUAAACACACACACACACACACACACACACACACACACACACGGGUUCACAAAGGCCAGCUCUCCAAAGAGUCAGGGAGUAGGAAAUGGGCAAGUGGGAAGAUGAAAGCUCAUUGUUUUUGCAGCAACACUAGUCAGAGUAAUAAUUCAAUUUUGACCACACAGAAUAAACAGUUCCAAGCAUCUAGAAGAUGAGACUGCUGAAAUUCUCAGCUGAAAACCCAAGGGGACAGAAAAACCAGAGCUGUACUUUCAGUUCCUCCCCCAAAAUAAAAGGACUCCAGCCAGCCACAUCUCGCCCUUAGAACCCUGGAAACAGAGUAACCAAGCCACUCUGAAUGGAUGUAGGAGACAGAGCUUUGGGAUUACACACAGGGGCUCUGGACUCUAGUCGCCUGAAUUGAAGCCCUGUCUCAACUCUUUGCUAGCUUCAGGCUCCCGUCUAUAGAUUCUCUUUGUCUCCGCUUCCUUGCCUGCAGAAGAUGGAGAAGAAACUGAUAUCCACCUCACUGAAAUUUUCCAAGAAUUAAAUCAGAUAAAACAUUCAAAGUUCUAAGCCCCGUGCCUGGUAGUCUCUUUGGAAGAAGUACCAGUCCCUAGUCUUGGUCCGGUCAAAUAAUCUCUCUAAUUGCUGCUCUGGAAAGGAGCAUUUUAAUUCCACAGUGGGACAAUGUGGAGAAGUGGAAUGCUAUGGGAAAUGUGGGUACAAAAUGGGAGGCGAAGGGCGGAUGAAGCCCAGUUAUUUAUGUGAUUGCAGGAUGUUUGCAAAGACACACUCAAAAUGCACACAAGUUGGCGUUUCCCCACAAGUGAUGGCAGUGAGCCUGGGAAGGGUAAUGUCGACAUCAGAACCAUCUGGCUGUGCCUGCAAAUUCAGAAGCCAAUCACCAUUCCCACCCUCUGAACUCUCACCACCCCAGUCCUACAUUUUUAUACCAGAGACCCUGAGCCCCCUGGAAGGGGAAAUAGUCUCUGUCCCAUUUGCUGCCCAUAAAUAAUACCCUGCAAGAGUGCUCACUUUAGUACCUUAUCUUGCUUUGCAGUUACCUUAAGUGCAAAAGACAGGCUUGGAGAAGAGAAGCACGAGCUGAAAACCUGCAAACUUCUGUGCUCCCCUGGGCUCAAAGGUCUACAGAAGGAAGAUUUGUUUUUAAAAUACUUCCCUGUUCAGGAAGGGUAGUAAUUGUGAUCAUCAGAGGCACCUUGGUGUGUCCUAGGCUUUCAUUCCUGGGGUUCACAGGAAUCCACGUAGAGUUCCCCUUCCUGCUCAACUGCUGCCCUCAAGAGCCAGCUAGCCUUGCUCAGGUCAUUGCAAAACCUGAUAAACUAGGUGCCAUUAUUAUUACUAUUUACAGGUGAGAAAACUGAGUCUUAAAGAGUUUCACCUAUGUGCUCAAGGUGGUACCUAUAGUAAGUGAUUGAGGACCAGGAAGCAUGGUCUUCCAGAGCCUGGGUUUUAGCUGCCAGGCCAACCUUCAUCCAUGGUGGUGCAGGGGGACUAUCAUUGAGGUGGGGACUCACCAGACCUGUGUGGACAUCUUGGUUUUGAUGUUCACCUUUCUUCUGGU
rnacentral:lncRNA from 1 species